GGUGUAGGCGGUUUUGUAAGUCAGAAGUGAAAGCCCUGGGCUCAACCCAGGAAGUGCUUUUGAUACUACUUAACUUGAGUAUGGGAGAGGGAAGCAGAAUUCCUGGUGUAGUGGUGAAAUACGUAGAUAUCAGGAGGAACACCGGAGGCGAAGGCGGCUUCCUGGCCCAAUACUGACGCUCAGACCCGAAAGCGUGGGUAGCAAACAGGAUUAGAUACCCUGGUAGUCC
rnacentral:rRNA from 1 species